GGGGAGCGAAAUUAUAGUAGCGAAGUCGUUGAUGUCACGCUGCCGAGAAAAGCUUCUAGCGAAUAAUCAACUGCCCGUACCGCAAACCGACACAGGUAGUCGAGGAGAGUAUCCUAAGGUGAGCGAGCGAACUCUCGUUAAGGAACUCGGCAAAAUGACCCCGUAACUUCGGGAGAAGGGGUGCUGAUCGCAAGAUCAGCCGCAGUGAAAAGGCCCAGGCGACUGUUUAUCAAAAACACAGGUUUCUGCAAAAUCGUAAGAUGAAGUAUAGGGGCUGACGCCUGCCCGGUGCUGGAAGGUUAAAAGGAAGAGUUAGCUUCGGCGAAGCCCUGAAUUGAAGCCCCAGUAAACGGCGGCCGUAACUAUAACGGUCCUAAGGUAGCGAAAUUCCUUGUCGGGUAAGUUCCGACCCGCACGAAAGGCGUAACGAUCUGGGCACUGUCUCAACGAGAGACUCGGUGAAAUUGAAUUGCCUGUGAAGAUGCAGGCUACCCGCGACAGGACGGAAAGACCCCAUGGAGCUUUACUGUAGCUUGAUAUUGAGUGCUUGUACUGCUUGUACAGGAUAGGUAGGAGCCAUAGAAGCCAGGACGCUAGUUUUGGCAGAGGCGUUGGUGGGAUACUACCCUUGCAUUAUGAUCACUCUAACCCGCACCUCUGAUCGAGGUGGGAGACAGUGUCAGGUGGGCAGUUUGACUGGGGCGGUCGCCUCCCAAAAGAUAACGGAGGCGCCCAAAGGUUCGCUCAGAAUGGUUGGAAAUCAUUCGCAGAGUGUAAAGGCACAAGCGAGCUUGACUGCGAGACAGACAGGUCGAGCAGGGACGAAAGUCGGGCUUAGUGAUCCGGUGGUUCCGCAUGGAAGGGCCAUCGCUCAACGGAUAAAAGCUACCCUGGGGAUAACAGGCUUAUCUCCCCCAAGAGUCCACAUCGACGGGGAGGUUUGGCACCUCGAUGUCGGCUCAUCGCAUCCUGGGGCUGUAGUCGGUCCCAAGGGUUGGGCUGUUCGCCCAUUAAAGCGGUACGCGAGCUGGGUUCAGAACGUCGUGAGACAGUUCGGUCCCUAUCCGUCGCGGGCGUAGGAAAUUUGAGAGGACCUGUCCUUAGUACGAGAGGACCGGGAUGGACAUACCGCUGGUGUACCAGUUGUUCCGCCAGGAGCAUCGCUGGGUAGCUAUGUAUGGAUGAGAUAAACGCUGAAAGCAUCUAAGCGUGAAACUCGCCUCAAGAUGAGAUUUCCCAUUCCUUAUGGAAGUAAGACCCCUCAGAGAUGAUGAGGUAGAUAGGAUGGAAGUGGAAGUGCCGCGAGGCAUGGAGCGGACCAUUACUAAUCGGUCGAGGACUUAACCAA
rnacentral:rRNA from 1 species